rnacentral:rRNA from 1 species
AUUGAACGCUGGCGGCAGGCCUAACACAUGCAAGUCGAGCGGAUGAAGGGAGCUUGCUCCCGGCUUCAGUGGCCGACGGGCGAGUAAUGCCUACGUAUCUGACCGGCAGAGGGGGAUAACGUCAGGACACGGGACCUAAUACCGUAUACGUCCAUAGGGUGAACGGGAGGGAUCUUUGGACCUCCAGCUUUUUGAUGAGACUAGGACGGAUUAGCUAGUUGGUGAGGUAAAGGCCUACCAAGGCGACGAUCCGUAACUGGUCUGAGAGGCUGAUCAGCCACACUGGAACUGAGACACGGUCCAGACUCCUACGGGAGGCAGCAGUGGGGAAUAUUGGACAAUGGGCGAAAGCCUGAUCCAGCCAUGCCGCGUGAGUGAAGAAGGUCUUCGGAUUGUAAAGCACUGUUAGUUGGGAAGAACAGCUGUAUGUGAAUACCUGCCUGUUUUGACGUUACCAAAAGAGUAAGCACCGGCUAACUUCGUG